UACAGAGGGUGCGAGCGUUUAAUCGGAAUUAUUGGGCGUAAAGAGCUCGUAGGCGGUUUGUUGCGUCGGCUGUGAAAUCCCGAGGCUUAACCGCGGGCUUGCAGUUGAUACGGGCAGGCUAGAGUUCGGUAGGGGAGACUGGAAUUCCUGGUGUAGCGGUGAAAUGCGCAGAUAUCAGGAGGAACACCGGUGGCGAAGGCGGGUCUCGUGGGCAGUAACUGACGCUGAGGAGCGAAAGCGUGGGGAGCGAACAGG
rnacentral:rRNA from 1 species